CUUUGAAUUUUGGUUCUUAUAACUCCUAAGAAAAAUGCUCUUAAAAUUUAUCGUAAUGUUGCAUAUUAUUAUUGCAAGGUUUUCUAUUCCUCGAAAGCACUGGGAUGAGCUCGAAUAUCUAUUUUUGAGCCUUCCAACAAUACUGAUCAUCUCUUGAUUUAAAUUUGACAUAUAAUUGUCCAUUUACUAUUUUUUUAGUGAACUAUGAUAAAUGAAUCCAAUAUGCUUUGUUUAAGCAUAUUAGAUUGAAU
rnacentral:lncRNA from 1 species